rnacentral:lncRNA from 1 species
AUGGAGAGAGCGGGGGAGAACUUCCAUCUACUGGUUCACUUCCCAGAUGGCUGCAACAGCCAGGACUGGGUCAGGCUGAAGCCAGGAGCCAGGAGCUUCAUCCAGGUCUCCCAUGUAGGUGCAGGGACUCAAACGCUUGGGCCAUUAGCAAGGAGUUGGAUAGAGAGUGGAGAAGCAGGACUCAAACUGGCACCCACGUGGGAUGCUGGCAUCACAGACUGCAGCUUUACCUGCUACACCAUAACACAGCCCUGCUACCUUCCUUCCGCUCCCUCCCAGUAUUUGGGGGUGGGUUAUGAAGGCAGCAGAGAGUACAUUUCUUUAGUUUGUUCUGGGAUAUUCCUAGGUGCCCUGGCAGGAAUCACCAUGGGAGUCCUCCAAGGAAGAAGCAGGCAUCGCUGCCAUUGGCAGCAGAAGGAAACUCCCUGUGGAGACCAGGGAUAACAUGACUUUGUACUUGCACCUACGGUGGUGGGUCCAAUUAAGCCCCGUCCCUUUGUGAGGCAAAGUACUUAGAGUGUGAGUUUCCUCGUCUGUAAACUGUGUAGCUCAACAGUCUGGUAUACACAGUAUAACCUCAGCGACUCUAAAUGGAAUUAUUCUUUUUUAAAGUUCUUCCUGUACCGAAUCCAGCCCUGAUUCUGGUAUUCAACAAUGACCUCUUCUGGAAAAGCCAACGAAGAGCCAGCCAACUCAACUUUCAUUCGUACAAUGUGUGCAAAUGUGUCAGCUGCAUUCUUCCUGGGUCUUUGGCCAAGCUUUCUCAAGCCAUCUCAUGCCAGGGCUAGGUGCACAUUCCCUCAGCCUGAAACCUGCUUCCUCAUCACUCCCCCAAUUGACACAUCCUUCAACACUCAGCUCAGCUGUCACCUGCCUCUGGUUGCAUGUCUCUCUUAUGAUAUGUCUCUAUCAUAGCAUACCAUCAUGCUGGCUGAUAGCCACAGGGACAUCUGUCUCCCAGACUGCAUCCUGAGGACAAGGCUGUGUUGUCUUUCUCCUUACCUAGCACCUAGCCCGCAGCAAACCUGAACAAAUGUUCGCUGAAGACGGUCGGGAAGCAGAAAGCAUGAAGUAUUUGGAGGAAAAUGCAGUUUUUGCAUUUUGUGCUUUGAGUCACUCUACACAUUCUUGGCUUUGACUCACUGUGCAUUCAAAAAAAAAAAUGAGAAGUUCUGAAAUUAGAUAAGCUCUUAUGAUUCAUUCACUUAAACAUCCCCCAACCCCCGAGGGGUCCUCUGCACUGGCGCUGUUCCAGGCUCUGUGAUAUAAAGGUGAGUAGGUCUCUGCACCCAAACCGAGUGAGUGUGACAUAUCUCCAUAUCCGCUAUUCCAAGGGAGGAUCCACUGACGGUUUGCCUGCACUGAGGCUUUGGGGCUGUCUUCCAACCCCUGUAGUUCUCUGAUGCCUGCAUUACACAGGGUUGGUCUAGUGAUUGGGUAAGGA